UAGGGAAUCUUCGGCAAUGGACGAAAGUCUGACCGAGCAACGCCGCGUGAGUGAAGAAGGUUUUCGGAUCGUAAAACUCUGUUGUUAGAGAAGAACAAGGACGUUAGUAACUGAACGUCCCCUGACGGUAUCUAACCAGAAAGCCACGGCUAACUACGUGCCAGCAGCCGCGGUAAUACGUAGGUGGCAAGCGUUGUCCGGAUUUAUUGGGCGUAAAGCGAGCGCAGGCGGUUUCUUAAGUCUGAUGUGAAAGCCCCCGGCUCAACCGGGGGGGGUCAUUGGAAACUGGGAGACUUGAGUGCAGAAGAGGGGAGUGGAAUUCCAUGUGUAGCGGUGAAAUGCGUAGAUAUAUGGAGGAACACCAGUGGCGAAGGCGGCUCUCUGGUCUGUAACUGGCGCUGAGGCUCGAAAGCGUGGGGAGCAAACAGG
rnacentral:rRNA from 1 species